CCCAUACUCCUGGAAUGUCAAAUAAGGAUUCAUCACUCUUAGGGUUAAUACUUGUCACUAUGGAAUAGAAGCGUCAUUCUUCUUCCCUUGGCACCGAUAUCGCCAUUAUGCCUGGUAAUCCCUUAAACUUCAGAGAUGUUGAUCCAUUAGAUAAAAGGUUAUCUGAGCUUAAAGCUUCGAUAAUAGAUCUCGUCCUAAAAGUUGAAUCGGACACUCUGACAUAUAUAGGAACUAAUGCUUCACCACAUGGCCUCCCAGAAUACAAGUGCGACUCUUAAGAACCGGUCUAGCUGCACUUCUCCCAGUAGCUCCUAUCACAGUUAUAGUCUUCCCCGAAGGCGGAGCCACCAUCUUAGUCACCACAGAAUGUUCAGCACCUGUGUCGAUCAUGAAAGAACUUCUCUUUCCCCCUAUUGCUACAUCGACCAUAGGCUCCGCUCGACCAAGUGGGAUGGAGCCCGGUCGGUAUCAAUAGUCUUCCAUGAUAGUGUCAGCCAG